AGUAUGGGUGAAGCAGACAAGCAACGGUGUGAUACAAGCAAAGUUUCCAGCCUCGUUUGAAUCCACGUCAACAUUCAUUACAAAAAUGGAGACUUUUGUUUAACAACUCUUUAUUAGUAUUCGUUGAACUGAUUAAACUUUAUUUUUCAUGCAAACUGCCUCAGGAAUCUGCAUCAAAUUGCAUAUUCCAUGAGUUUUAGGUGUGGGUUUUGGAAGUGGAGCAGUUUUGUUUGAGUUUUUGGAUGGGAGAUAGUGAGAGCUGCAGCAGCCGGCAAUCCGAGUGGUCACCGCUUCAAACCCGAAAAAGGCGGCAGAAAAUUGAAGUGUUUCACGAAGUUUUGUGUAGGCUUAGAGAAUUGGAAAUCGAAGAGGCUGCUGAACCGGGAUUUGAAGAUGAACUUUGGGCACAUUUUAACAUGUUUCCUCUUCGCUAUGCUUUGGAUUUCAAUACUGAACGGGCCGAGGAUGCCCUGGUGCACAAGAAAUUAUUGAGCAUGGCGCGUGAUCCUCUUACACGGCCAGCUGUUGAUGUGCGCCCCGUGCAGGGUAGGCCCACCUGCGAUGGAAAUUCAGGCAAUACUGUCCAUUCAAGCUUCACCAAGGGAGGGAACGCGCUCCUGUCCGAUAGCGUGCCACCUGUGUUUGGCCCAUCAGAAAAUUUUGAACUUGCCUUCAAAGCAAAUGAAUCCAAUGCCCAAGAUGACAAUAGUUCUGUGAGUAGGAAAUCGUACUUAUUGCGGUCGGUGGACAUUCUUUGCUGCUUCUAUUUUUGCAGGCCAAUGCAUGAAAUAACAAUAUCAACAAAAGACAAAGCAAAACUGCUUAGUGGGUUAACAUCUCUUAUGUCUGAGAUUGGCUUGAACAUCCAAGAAGCUCAUGCAUUUUGCACGAUUGACGGGUAUUCACUUGAUGUCUUCGUUGUUGGUGGUUGGGAAGAGGGCGCUGAUCGUCUCAAAGCCACGCUAGUGAAAGAAAUUCCAUACAUUGAGAAACGGUUGGUUAAACACGAGCUUGUAUCCCCUGCUGUCGGCCUGGAGCAGAUCGGAUUUAGUAUACAAUCAUGCCAUGUGGAAAUUCCUAUUGAUGGGAGUGAUGUCUGGGAAAUUGAUUCCGAUUUGUUGGAGUUUGAGUACAAGAUCGCUGCAGGGUCAAACGGAGACAUGUACAAAGGUUUGUAUCGUAGUCAAGACGUGGCCAUCAAAUGUUUUAAGACCGACUCCCUAAAUAAAGAUAUGCAACGGGAGUUCUCUCAGGAAGUCUACAUAUUGAGGAAAGUUCGGCACAAAAACGUGGUACAGUUUAUUGGUUCAUGUACGAGACCUCCACUCUUGUGCAUCGUUACUGAAUUCAUGUCGGGUGGAAGUGUGUAUGAUGCGCUGCAUAAACAAACGGGUGUUCUCAAGCUUCCAGCCAUGUUGAAGGUUGCGAUUGACGUCUCUAGGGGAAUGUGCUAUUUACAUGAAAAUAACAUAAUUCACAGGGACCUGAAGGCUGCCAACCUUUUAAUGGACGAAAAUGAAGUGGUUAAGAUUGCUGAUUUUGGUGUUGCUCGAGUACUAGUUCAGUCAGGAGUUAUGACUGCAGAAACCGGAACUUAUCGCUGGAUGGCACCGGAGGUGUGCUUAUCUUUAUUUUUAGUGGUUAUUGAGCACAAGCCGUAUAAUCACAAAGCCGACGUUUUCAGCUUUGGCGUUAUGUUGUGGGAGCUUCUAACUGGAAAGGUUCCAUAUGCACAACUUACUCCUUUGCAGGCAGCUGUGGGUGUCGUCCAGAAGGGUCUAAGACCAACAAUACCGAGGCACACUCAUCCGUUAGUGGUGGAGUUGCUCGAACGGUGUUGGCAGCAAGAUCCAUCUUUAAGGCCUGAAUUUUCUGAAAUUAUUGAGAUCUUGCAAAGCAUCAGCAAAAAGAUCUUCGAAGAAGAGAGCUACCAAAAAGAGAAAUCUGGGAGAGCCAUGAUGUUUUAUAUGACAAAAGAAGGGCCUGACGGCUAAGAAAACUUGCUGAUCCGUCUAUCUUUACUGCAAUCCUAAACGGGAAACGCGAAAAAAAGGUCCAAGCUAACAAAGAACCAACCUUUGAGAUGAGAUUUUUCGAGUUGGGAUCCUCACAGCCGGUGAUGUCGUGCAUAUCUCCAUCUUUGAAUAAUUUUACAUAUUUGUAUUAUUUUUUUUCAUUCUAGUUUGUUUAGAGUAUUUAUGAAAGCUAGUAAGUAUAUAUUUUCAACUCCAGUUACUUAAGAGUAUUUUUUUCUA